GCUUAAGGCCUUAUCGCGUUGAAAGCAGCGGUUCUCGUCCAAUCACCGAAGUUAGUAACGUCGAGCCUAGUGAGUACUUAGAUGGGUGACCGCUUGGGAAACCAAGGCGCUGUAAGCG
rnacentral:rRNA from 1 species